CCUACGGGAGGCAGCAGUGGGGAAUAUUGCACGAUGGGGGAAACCCUGAUGCAGCGAUGCCGCGUGAGUGAAGAAGUCAUUCGUUAUGUAAAGUUCUAUCAGCAGGGAAGAAAAUGACGGUACCUGAGUAAGAAGCACCGGCUAACUACGUGCCAGCAGCCGCGGUAAUACGUAGGGUGCAAGCGUUAGCCGGAUUUACUGGGGGUAAAGGGAGCGGAGAUGGCAGGGCAAGUCUGGCGUGAAAGGCGGGGGUUCAACCCGCGAACUGCUCUGGAAACUGUACGGCUGGAGUGCAGGAGAGGGGAGUGGAAUUCCUAGUGUAGCGGUGAAAUGCGUAGAGAUUAGGAGGAAUACCAGUGGCGAAGGCGGCUUACUGGACUAAAACUGACGUUGAGGCUCGAAAGCGUGGGGAGCAAACAGGAUUAGAUACCCGAGUAGUC
rnacentral:rRNA from 1 species